CCUUGAGGCGUGGCUUCCGGAGCUAACGCGUUAAAUCGACCGCCUGGGGAGUACGGCCGCAAGGUUAAAACUCAAAUGAAUUGACGGGGGCCCGCACAAGCGGUGGAGCAUGUGGUUUAAUUCGAUGCAACGCGAAGAACCUUACCUACUCUUGACAUCCAGAGAACUUACCAGAGAUGCAUUGGUGCCUUCGGGAACUCUGAGACAGGUGCUGCAUGGCUGUCGUCAGCUCGUGUUGUGAAAUGUUGGGUUAAGUCCCGCAACGAGCGCAACCCUUAUCCUUUGUUGCCAGCGGUUCGGCCGGGAACUCAAAGGAGACUGCCAGUGAUAAACUGGAGGAAGGUGGGGAUGACGUCAAGUCAUCAUGGCCCUUACGAGUAGGGCUACACACGUGCUACAAUGGCGUAUACAAAGAGAAGCGACCUCGCGAGAGCAAGCGGACCUCAUAAAGUACGUCGUAGUCCGGAUUGGAGUCUGCAACUCGACUCCAUGAAGUCGGAAUCGCUAGUAAUCGUAGAUCAGAAUGCUACGGUGAAUACGUUCCCGGGCCUUGUACACACCGCCCGUCACACCAUGGGAGUGGGUUGCAAAAGAAGUAGGUAGCUUAACCUUCGGGAGGGCGCUUACCACUUUGUGAUUCAUGACUGGGGUGAAGUCGUAAC
rnacentral:rRNA from 1 species